rnacentral:lncRNA from 1 species
CCAAAUGCACGUCACAAGCUCCCAUACCGCGAAUGCGACUAUCAUUGACAUUUUACAUUGUGAAAAUUGCAGUUGAGGUAUCAAACCUUUCGUUUAUUAACAGAUUUGAUCUAAACAUUUCGUUUAUACUGUCCAUGAUACCAAACCUUACCAAAAUUCGCACUAGAAGUUCAAAUGGAUGGAAACCGUUAGUAAAUCCGUUAAUUGACCUAGGCUCAACAUUUUG